UGGGGAAUAUUGCGCAAUGGGGGAAACCCUGACGCAGCGACGCCGCGUGAGCGAAGAAGGCCUUAGGGUCGUAAAGCUCUGUUUUAAGGGACGAAUGUCGCGGGUAAUAAUACGAUCUGCGAAUGACGGUACCUUAAGAGGAAGCCCCGGCUAACUACGUGCCAGCAGCCGCGGUAAGACGUAGGGGGCGAGCGUUGUCCGGAAUUACUGGGCGGAAAGAGCACGUAGGCGGGAUUUUAAGUCAGGUGUGAAAGACCGUGGCUCAACCACGGGGUUGCACUUGAAACUGGGAUUCUUGAGGGCAGGAGAGGAAAGUGGAAUUCCUGGUGUAGCGGUGAAAUGCGUAGAAAUCAGGAGGAACACCGGUGGCGAAGGCAGGUCUCUGGGCCGCAACUGACGCUGAGGAGCGAAAGCAUGGGGAGCGAACAGG
rnacentral:rRNA from 1 species